rnacentral:pre_miRNA from 1 species
AAAAAGGGCAAACCCUGGGUUUCCGUGCCAACGUUUGACUCUCCGUCUUAUAUAAAAUUUUUUUAUAAUUAGUAUUUUCAUUGUUGUUAGAUGAUAAAACAUAAUUAAUACUUUAUGCAUGACUUAUCUUUUUAUUUUUUUUUAUAAUUUUUUCAAAUAAGACGAACAAUCAAAUGUUGGACACGAAAACCACUUUUU